GUAGGUGACGUGCCCCGGGGUCUGGGAUAGCCAUGGGAAACCGUGGGUAAUACUGGAUGACCUCCCUGAAUUUGAAUGUUUGGGGAGCAAAGGUGUGAUUCCGUCCUGGGAGCGGCUUGCGUGGUAUUGGCUUGUUGGUGAGGUAACGGCUCACCAAGGCGACGAUGCCUAGGGGGUGUUAGCGCAUGACCCCCACGACUGGGACUGAGAUACUGCCCAGACACCUACGGGUGGCUGCAGUCGAGAAUCUUCGGCAAUGGGCGCAAGCCUGACCGAGCGACGCCGCGUGCGGGAUGAAGGCCCUUGGGUUGUAAACCGCUGUCAGAGGGGAUGAAGUGCGGGUGGGCAAUCCCAUCCGUUUGACAUAGCCUCAGAGGAAGCACGGGCUAAGUUCGUGCCAGCAGCCGCGGUAAUACGAACUGUGCAAACGUUAUUCGGAAUCACUGGGCUUAAAGGGUGCGUAGGCGGCUAUUUAAGUAGGGUGUGAAAGCCCCCGGCUCAACCGGGGAAUUGCGUCCUAAACUGGAUGGCUC
rnacentral:rRNA from 1 species